UACGUAGGUGGCAAGCGUUAUCCGGAAUUAUUGGGCGUAAAGAGCGCGCAGGUGGUUGAUUAAGUCUGAUGUGAAAGCCCACGGCUUAACCGUGGAGGGUCAUUGGAAACUGGUCGACUUGAGUGCAGAAGAGGGAAGUGGAAUUCCAUGUGUAGCGGUGAAAUGCGUAGAGAUAUGGAGGAACACCAGUGGCGAAGGGGGCUUCCUGGUCUGUAACUGACACUGAGGCGCGAAAGCGUGGGGAGCAAACAGGAUUAGAUACCCU
rnacentral:rRNA from 1 species